CCUUUAGCCUGGGCUUGAGCGCGCGCAGAAGUCAGCUUCGUGACUUCCUUCUCAGGAUGGAACCAGCUUGGUGGCUUGAGGGAAAGGGGUUCUGAGUUGCAAAUCAGAAACUUGAAGAUGAAAUGGCUACUACGCUGGGUAUUGCCUUUAUCUUGAAUGCCAGCCUGAUGGUCCAAGGUGAACAAGCCUUCCUGUGUUUUCUGAAUGGCCCUGAAGGCAGCCCGUAUUUGUCUGGAUGUCUUCAUUCUUCCAGUCUAAGAACUCCUAAUUCAUCUCUGCACUCCCUGAGGCAUCAGCACUUGAGAGUAAACUCCUUUGAAUCCCUUGAGCCCCACGAGGUGGAUUUUCUCUCAAGAGCUCCCAGGCUAUGCUGAUGAAGUACCUCUUCUCUGCUUCUCUCCAGAAUAGUCAAAACCCUCAAAAUCCUCAAAAGUUCCUGGAGGUGGGAGGUUCCACCCCCAACUCUAUCCUCGCCUCUUCUACUGGUCUAGCCCGCAAGCCCCUCGGAGUUCCUGAGGGGCAGACAGGCCCUGGUGCACACAGGCGCUCCAUGCCAGGCCCUUGGGCUCUGGAGCCCCUGACACUGCCCUGGCACCUCAGACCCCAGGACUGGACACCCACAUGCUCCAGCCCAGUCUUCACACAGGAUCUCCUGCCCCCAUGCACACACUGAGGGCCAGGAUGCACCGUGCAACCCCUAUCCU
ensembl:lncRNA RPAP3-DT RPAP3 divergent transcript